GACGAACGCUGGCGGCGUGCCUAACACACGCAAGUCGAACGGAGAUUUCAGCAAUGGAAUCUUAGUGGCGAACGGGUGAGUAACGCGUAGACAACCUACCUUCUAGAUGGGGACAACACUGCGAAAGUGGUGCUAAUACCGAAUGUUGUAUUUUGAACGCCUGUUUAAGAUACUAAAGGUGGCCUCUAUUUAUAAGCUACCACUAGAAGAUGGGUCUGCGUCUGAUUAGCUAGUUGGUGAGGUAAUGGCUCACCAAGGCAACGAUCAGUAGCCGAGCUGAAAGGAUGAACGGCCACACUGGGACUGAGACACGGCCCAGACUCCUACGGGAGGCAGCAGUGGGGAAUCUUCCGCAAUGGACGAAAGUCUGACGGAGCAACGCCGCAUGAGUGAAGAAGGUUUUCGGAUCGUAAAACUCUGUUUUCAGGGACGAAUGUGCAAUAUGUAAAUAAUGUAUUGUAAUGACGGUACCUGACAAGAAAGCCACGGCUAACUACGUGCCAGCCGCCGCGGUAACAC
rnacentral:rRNA from 1 species